rnacentral:rRNA from 1 species
AGAGUUUGAUCCUGGCUCAGGAUGAACGCUAGCGGCAGGCCUAACACAUGCAAGUCGAGGGGCAGCGAGAAUUAGUUUACUAAUUUGUCGGCGACCGGCGCACGGGUGCGUAACGCGUAUGCAACCUACCUUAUACAGGGGGAUAGCCCUCGGAAACGAGGAUUAAUAUCCCAUAGUAUUAUUGAUUGGCAUCGAUUAAUAAUUAAAGCUUCGGCGGUAUAAGAUGGGCAUGCGUCCUAUUAGCUAGAUGGUAAGGUAACGGCUUACCAUGGCAACGAUAGGUAGGGGGCCUGAGAGGGUAGUCCCCCACACUGGUACUGAGACACGGACCAGACUCCUACGGGAGGCAGCAGUGAGGAAUAUUGGUCAAUGGACGCAAGUCUGAACCAGCCAUGCCGCGUGCAGGAAGAAUGCCCUAUGGGUUGUAAACUGCUUUUAUUUAGGAAGAAACCCCCCGACGUGUUGGGGGCUGACGGUACUAAAUGAAUAAGGACCGGCUAACUCCGUGCCAGCAGCCGCGGUAAUACGGAGGGUCCAAGCGUUAUCCGGAAUCAUUGGGUUUAAAGGGUCCGCAGGCGGAUUAAUAAGUCAGUGGUGAAAUCCCAUCGCUUAACGAUGGAACUGCCAUUGAUACUGUUAGUCUUGAAUUUGGUCGAAGUGGGCGGAAUGUGUCAUGUAGCGGUGAAAUGCAUAGAUAUGACACAGAACACCGAUAGCGAAGGCAGCUCACUAGGCCUGAAUUGACGCUCAUGGACGAAAGCGUGGGGAGCGAACAGGAUUAGAUACCCUGGUAGUCCACGCCGUAAACGAUGAUUACUCGAUAUCAGCGAUAUACAGUUGGUGUCUAAGCGAAAGUGAUAAGUAAUCCACCUGGGGAGUACGAUCGCAAGGUUGAAACUCAAGGAAUUGACGG